UAACACGUGGGGAACUUCCCCAUAGUCUGGGAUACCACUUGGAAACAGGUGCUAAUACCGGAUAAGAAAGCAGAUCGCAUGAUCAGCUUUUAAAAGGCGGCGUAAGCUGUCGCUAUGGGAUGGCCCCGCGGUGCAUUAGCUAGUUGUAAGGUAAAGGCUUACCAAGGCGAUGAUGCAUAGCCGAGUUGAGAGACUGAUCGGCCACAUUGGGACUGAGACACGGCCCAAACUCCUACGGGAGGCAGCAGGU
rnacentral:rRNA from 1 species